rnacentral:hammerhead_ribozyme from 1 species
AUGUAGCUGACGAGUCCCAAACAGAACGAAACGCGCGUCCUGGAU